rnacentral:lncRNA from 1 species
CCAAGAUCUCUCGUCUGAAAUCCUCAUCGGGCAUUUCCGGAUCAAUGGAGGAAACGGUGAGCUCUUGAAGAGAUGGCAGCAGCAGAAGUUCCUUGAGAGAACUGAAAUCGCUAAGGCGUACUCCGCUGAUGUCGAGAAUUUUUAGUGCAGCCAGCAUGCUGACGUCCGUGAGGGAGUCGAUCGGGCAGUUCGCAAGAGAAAGAUAGGCUAGACCAGGCAGCGACGGCAAAUGCGAAAGAGUACUCAGAUGAGAGUCCCUCACGCUCAAGUGCAUGAGAGAGUCAGGGAGUCUGUCAACACCCUCGAAGGAGACAAAGGGGUUCCCGUCAAGGGUCAGUUUGGCUAGGUGGGGCAACCCAAUCGAGCACAACUUAGAAAUAGAGUUAUUCGACAAAUUCAACACAGCGCAGGACGGGAGACACGUCUCAUCGGUCAAGCAAGAGAUAUCGGUUAUGCUGUUACGGGCGGCGUUGAGAAAGAGAACGUGGGGUAGCUUCGUAAGUGGGAGGAUAUCGUCGAGAUGGUUGUCGGAUAUGUCAAUGUAGCGAAGAUGGACAAAAGUUGCAAUCUCUUCUGGAAUCUUUGUAACAUUUUUCCCGGUGCAGUUGAGACGUACAUAGGCAUACCCGCUGCCGUCCACCGUUCUGGCGACUUCCGAU